GAUGAACGCUAGCUACAGGCUUAACACAUGCAAGUCGAGGGGCAGCACAGUGUAGCAAUACAUGGGUGGCGACCGGCGCAAGGGUGCGUAACGCGUGAGCAACUUGCCCUUAUCAGGGGGAUAACCGGUGGAAACGCCGACUAAUACCCCAUAGUAUCAACUUUAGGCAUCUUUAGUUGAUUAAAGAAUUUCGGAUAAGGAUAGGCUCGCGUGACAUUAGCUAGAUGGCGGGGUAACGGCCCACCUAGCCGACGAUCUUUAGGGGUUCUGAGAGGAAGGUCCCCCACACUGGUACUGAGACACGGACCAGACUCCUACGGGAGGCAGCAGUGAGGAAUAUUGGUCAAUGGGCGGAAGCCUGAACCAGCCAAGUAGCGUGAAGGAUUACAGCCCUACAGGUUUUAAACUUCUUUUAUAUAAGAGUAAUGUGGUCUACGUGUAGAUUAUUGCAAGUAUUAUAUGAAUAAGCAUCGGCUAACUCCGUG
rnacentral:rRNA from 1 species